AGUCACUUAUGUAAAAUGGUCAAGAUAUUUGAAUAUAACCUAUGCGUAUCCUCCCUUUACAUUUAUAGGGAUUUGGGUUUGCCUUGCAAAUCUUUGACUUAAUUAUUAUAUAGAGUUACUGAAGAAAUACUAUCAUGUUUUCUUUAAAGUUCACAUAAAAUGCUAUCACGCUGCGCUAAAAAGAAAAAUAUUAAUCAAACUUUAAAGACAAAUAGUAAUUAUUAAAUCAUCUCUAGAUUACUUAUUAUACCAAAUAAUGUGAAUGCUAUGUAAGGUUGUUAUACGGCAUUGUUUAGGGAAUAAUAGCAAGAAAAAUCUGUACACGUUCAGUAGAGAAGCAAUUUUAUUUUGGAAUGUUUAUAGUCUGCAGUUGAUUGAAUUCAGAGAUGUGGAACUCACCGACUUAGAGGGGCCACUGUCUUCAUCCAAUCUAAAAUAAGUACUACAAAGUGUGUCCCACCUGCUUGCUGCUCAGGUAGGCGCUGGAACAUAAUUGACAUGUGCAUGGUCCUACCUCAGGGAGUUCCAUGGGCUGGGUGUGGGAGCACACACCAUGGUGCCAUGAUUCAGGCUCUGAUAGGAGCCACACCAAGCCCUGUGAGGACACUCUGACUUGAUGGAGUCAAGUAUUUAAAGGUGUUAAGGAUUUAACCCAAGGACCUAACAGUGCCUGGGAUUGCUAAAGGCAAGUGAGGAUUCAAGAGCCCUUUCUGCAGUGGUUCAGGGUUCUCAACCACGCUGUGAGGUAUAUUCCAUCAGCUCAGCUCUGAUGUAUGCUGUAAAGACCUUCUUACCAUAGACUCAGAUAAGAGUGGGAAAAUAGUUACAUUUUUUUACAAAUUGGAACAGCCUUUUCAUUACUGUGCCCCAAAGACCCGAUGAGAACAAUUAGAGGAGAAACCGUUUAUUUGAAGGCUCAAGGUUUCAAAAGUCUCAGUCCAUAGACAAUCAGCUCUAUUCCUCAGGGUGCAAGGUGAGGGAGAGCAUCAGGGGGUGGUGGAGGCAUGGCACUCAGAAAGCAGAGCUCCGCUCAAC
rnacentral:lncRNA from 1 species